rnacentral:rRNA from 1 species
UACGUAGGGUGCAAGCGUUAAUCGGAAUUACUGGGCGUAAAGCGUGCGCAGGCGGUUUGUAAGUUUGUCGUGAAAGCCCCGGGCUCAACCUGGGAAUUGCGAUGAAGACUGCAAGGCUUGAAUCUGGCAGAGGGGGUAGAAUUCCACGUGUAGCAGGUGAAAUGCAUAGAUAUGACCCGGAACACCGAUUGCGAAGGCAGCCCGCUAAGCAAACUAUUGACGCUGAGCACGAAGCGUGGGAGUCAAACAGGAAUUAGAGUACCCGAUAAGUCCGACGAGACCAAGUCCUCGUGC